rnacentral:misc_RNA from 1 species
CACCGCGCGUCUCGUCUCGUCUCAUGGCGCCGCCGCCUCGGGCUCGCUUGGUGCAGAUCGGGACCCGCCGCCGCCGCUGCCGGGGCCGGAUCCCGCCUUGCACCAAGUGAAUCGGAGCCGGCGUAGCGCCCUCCUUCCGCCGAUCCGCCG